AUUGAACGCUGGCGGCAGGCCUAACACAUGCAAGUCGAGCGGAUCAGCAGACGGGGGAGUGAUGACUAGGAAUCUGCCUGGCAGUGGGGGAUGACGUCCGGAAACGGGCGCUAAUACCGCAUCCUAUCAGAUUAGCCUAGGCCGGAUUGGCUAUUUGGUGGGGUAAGGGCCUAGCAGGGCGACGAUCCGUAACUGGUCUGAGAGGAUGAUCAGUCACACGGGAACUGAGACACGGUCCAGACGCCGACGGGAGGCAGCAGUGGGGAAUAUUGGAAAAUGGGCGAAAGCCUGAUCCAGACAUGCCGCGUGUGUGAAGAAGGUCUUCGGAUUGUAAAGCACGUUAAGUUGGGAGGCGUUACCAACAGAAUAAGCACCGGCUAACUUCGUGCCAGCCGCCGCGGUAAUAC
rnacentral:rRNA from 1 species